UACAGAGGGGGCAAGCGUUGUUCGGAAUUACUGGGCGUAAAGGGCGCGUAGGCGGCCGUCUAAGUCAGACGUGAAAUCCCUCGGCUCAACCGGGGAACUGCGUCUGAUACUGGGUGGCUUGAAUUCGGGAGAGGGAUGCGGAAUUCCAGGUGUAGCGGUGAAAUGCGUAGAUAUCUGGAGGAACACCGGUGGCGAAGGCGGCAUCCUGGACCGAGAUUGACGCUGAGGCGCGAAAGCCAGGGGAGCAAACGGG
rnacentral:rRNA from 1 species